GGGUAUAAGGAGCUUGCUCAUUAGAGACCGGCGCACGGGUGCGUAACGCGUAUGCAAUCUGCCUUUUACUGAGGGAUAGCCCAGAGAAAUUUGGAUUAAUACCUCAUAGUAUAUUUGAAUGGCAUCAUUUAAAUAUUAAAGAUUUAUCGGUAAAAGAUGAGCAUGCGUCCCAUUAGUUAGUUGGUAAGGUAACGGCUUACCAAGACGAUGAUGGGUAGGGGUCCUGAGAGGGAGAUCCCCCACACUGGUACUGAGACACGGACCAGACUCCUACGGGAGGCAGCAGUGAGGAAUAUUGGGCAAUGCUCGAGAGAGUGACCCAGCCAUGCCGCGUGCAGGAUGACUGCCCUAUGGGUUGUAAACUGCUUUUAUACGAGAAGAAACACCUCUUUGCGAAGAGACUUGACGGUAUCGUAUGAAUAAGGAUCGGCUAACUCCGUGCCAGCAGCCGCGGUAAUACGGAGGAUCCAAGCGUUAUCCGGAAUCAUUGGGUUUAAAGGGUCCGUAGGCGGCUUAAUAAGUCAGUGGUGAAAUCUCCUAGCUCAACUAGGAAACUGCCAUUGAUACUGUUAGGCUUGAAUGAUUGUGAAGUAACUAGAAUAUGUAGUGUAGCGGUGAAAUGCUUAGAUAUUACAUGGAAUACCAAUUGCGAAGGCAGGUUACUAACAGUUUAUUGACGCUGAUGGACGAAAGCGUGGGGAGCGAACAGGAUUAGAUACCCUGGUAGUCCACGCCGUAAACGAUGGAUACUAGCUGUUGGGCGUAAGCUCAGUGGUUAAGCGAAAGUGAUAAGUAUCCCACCUGGGGAGUACGGUCGCAAGACUGAAACUCAAAGGAAUUGACG
rnacentral:rRNA from 1 species